ACUCUGCUUUGAAUGCUACUGAUCUGGAUUUUGGAAGUGGACAACAGAACAAGCAAAGAAACUGUGCUUCUUGCUCAGAGUUAUGGUGGGAGAAGGUUAAAGAGAUGAAAAUGCAGGCAACCACAUCCCCAGUCUAAAUGACGGACAUGUUACACCAUUUACA